AGUAUUGUGCCAGAUAAAUUGGGUUACCUUGAUGAGGUAAAAUAUAAGGUUAGUCCUUCGAUACUU
rnacentral:tRNA from 1 species